UACGUAGGGUGCAGGCGUUAAUCGGAAUUACUGGGCGUAAAGCGUGCGCAGGCGGUUUGCUAAGACAGGUGUGAAAUCCCCGGGCUUAACCUGGGAACUGCGCUUGUAACUGGCAAGCUAGAGUGUGGCAGAGGGGGGGUGGGAAUUCCACGGUGUAGCAGUGAAAUGCGUAGAGAUGUGGAGGAACACCGAUGGCGAAGGCAGUCUCCUGGGGCCAGCACUGAC
rnacentral:rRNA from 1 species